UACGAAGGGGGCUAGCGUUGCUCGGAAUGACUGGGCGUAAAGGGCGCGUAGGCGGUCUGUUGCGUCGGCUGUGAAAACCCGGGGCUCAACCCCGGGCCUUCAGCCGAUACGGGCAGACUAGAGUUCGGCAGGGGAGACUGGAAUUCCUGGUGUAGCGGUGAAAUGCGCAGAUAUCAGGAGGAACACCGGUGGCGAAGGCGGAUCUCUGGGCCAUUACUGACGCUGAGGAGCGAAAGCGUGGGGAGCGAACAGG
rnacentral:rRNA from 1 species